rnacentral:rRNA from 1 species
AUUGAACGCUGGCGGCAUGCUUUACACAUGCAAGUCGAACGGCAGCGCGGGCUUCGGCCUGGCGGCGAGUGGCGAACGGGUGAGUAAUGCAUCGGAACGUGCCCAGUAGUGGGGGAUAGCCCGGCGAAAGCCGGAUUAAUACCGCAUACGACCUGAGGGUGAAAGCGGGGGACCGAAAGGCCUCGCGCUAUUGGAGCGGCCGAUGUCGGAUUAGCUAGUUGGUGGGGUAAAGGCUUACCAAGGCGACGAUCCGUAGCUGGUCUGAGAGGACGACCAGCCACACUGGGACUGAGACACGGCCCAGACUCCUACGGGAGGCAGCAGUGGGGAAUUUUGGACAAUGGGGGCAACCCUGAUCCAGCCAUGCCGCGUGCGGGAAGAUGGCCUUCGGGUUGUAAACCGCUUUUGUUCGGGAAGAAAUCCUCUGGGCUAAUACCCCGGGGGGAUGACGGUACCGGAAGAAUAAGCACCGGCUAACUACGUG